rnacentral:rRNA from 1 species
AUUGAACGCUGGCGGGAUGCUUUACACAUGCAAGUCGAACGAGUGGCGGACGGGUGAGUAAUGUAUGGGAACGUGCCCAGUGGAGGGGGAUAACUACUCGAAAGAGUGGCUAAUACCGCAUACUAUUGGAUGUGCCGAUAUGGGAUUAGCUAGUUGGUGGGGUAACGGCUCACCAAGGCAACGAUCCGUAGCUGGUUUGAGAGGAUGACCAGCCACACUGGAACUGAGACACGGCCCAGACUCCUACGGGAGGCAGCAGUGGGGAAUUUUGGACAAUGGGCGAAAGCCUGAUGCAGCCAUCCCGCGUGUAUGAUGAAGGCCUUCGGGUUGUAAAGUACUUUCAGCAGAGAAGCGGUAUCUGCAGAAGAAGCACCGGCUAACUCCGUGCCAGCCGCCGCGGUAAUUC